CAGAGUCUGUGGGAACAGGUGGGAGCGCUCUUCUUUGGUCUGGCUUUAUUGUUCUGAUUCAGUCCAUGCUGAACUUCCCAUAAAUCUUCCAUACCACUUAUCCUAUCCGUGAGAACUCAGGGCACAAGGCAGGGGACACCCUGGAUAAGAUCAAAGUGUCCUCCAGCAUCCACCAACAAAAGACACUGAUCUGAUGGCAGACCUGAUCUGUGUUUGUUUAGGUCAACGAACAAAGACUAUGUGUGCUCUAUCCUGGGUCUCCACACCUGCAGCUUUUCUGCUGUUGCUGUUUCUUCAGCUUUGGACACAUAUAUACUCACAUACCUCACAUGACCUCAUCUGAUCCUGCUUUCUGAUGACUUGCUUUUCAUACACAGUGAUUUCUCAGGUUACUUUCAAUGUAUAGUAAAAGACUAUCUAGCAUUGCACUGGCGUG